rnacentral:rRNA from 1 species
UACGGAGGGGGCUAGCGUUAUUCGGAAUUACUGGGCGUAAAGCGCACGUAGGCGGCUUUGUAAGUCAGAGGUGAAAUCCCAAGGCUCAACCUUGGAACUGCCUUUGAUACUGGGGAUCUUGAGUCCGGGAGAGGUGAGUGGAACUGCGAGUGUAGAGGUGAAAUUCGUAGAUAUUCGCAAGAACACCAGUGGCGAAGGCGGCUCACUGGCCCGGUACUGACGCUGAGGUGCGAAAGCGUGGGGAGCAAACAGG